GGUGGGAUGGCCGAGUGGUUAUGGCGCUGCGUUAAGGUCCAGCUUAAGUUGAGUCCAGUGUUGAGAUACUGGCAGCAAAAUCCGCAGUGGAGCAAUCCGCGUGGGUUCGAGUCCCACUCCCAUCA